AGGCCAGACCCAGGGCCGGCGCUCUCUGUCACAGCCGCGUAGGAAGGAAGGAGAGGCGGCGCCGGCCGCUCCCGCCCCCAGCCCUGCGCCGGCGACGGCCGCCCCCGCCCCCAAGCGCCGGCGGCAACCGGACCCAAGCCUCUGCGCCGCAGCUGCCCUCCCUCUGCGACUGCCCCAGGCCGCCGCGCCGCGCCGCAGCAGCCCCGACGGGAGGCCCGCUCCUGCCCUCCACCGGUGACUACCUCCAGGCCGCCGCGCUGCAGUGAUCUCCGACGGGAGGCACGCUCCUACCCUCCGCGAUGGAUGCUGGGAUUGAUCCGGAUGGGGCAUUUAGGUUGUGCGUCCAGAUUUCUCAAUUCACCGCUAAGAUUGAUGACGGUACAACAGUCGAUAUGCAAAGGAAGUACGAUGAAUGGAUUGUGGACUAUCGUUCAUACACCAUGCAGAAUUUACAGAAGGACUUGGCAGCUAGGGUUAAAUGGGGAAGCUGCCAGCAUCUUUUGAUUUCUGAAUUUGAUAUGUCUGGUAUGGGGGAAAGGAAUUUGGAUGAUGAUGUAGCUUUGUCACUUGCAUUCUCUGAAAGGCUUGCUGAAAAGAAGCUGUUUUUGUUUGUGGAUGUUGAGGACAAGGCUAUGCAAAUGGAAGGUAACUCAGGUAUCACAGAGGGUGUCAUGAGUAAUGUGGUGACAGAGAAUGGUAGUGCUCAAGUAAACUCAGGCGAGGAGGUUCCAUAUGUCAUUGAUUGGGAUAGCCUACAGAUCGAACCAAUCGCAGAAGACCAAAUAGGUUGUGCAGUCCCAUUGAUGAGUGAAGAUGCUAUGUAUGCAUUUCUUGGUCUUCAAGCGGAAGAUGAGAGAGCAGAGCAAGCAAGGGCAGAGUUACCAGUUGAUGAGUCUGAAGUCGUAAACACUGCUACCAAUUCUAUUUUUGAUGGAGAAACCAUUGACAAUUGGACUUGGUUUAUGCAACAACUGCAAAAGGCAAUUGAUAAUCCUCCAAAUCUAGCUAUAAGUUCAGAUGCUUGCAAGGGUAUAGAGAAAGCUGUGAAGGCGAUUUUUCCUUGGGCAGAGCAUAGAGUGUUUCUUGCACUUGAUGAAGAAUUUUGUGAAGCAAUUUCAGGGCCCAGUAUUUGGGCGCAUGUAUCCUGCUGCAAGGACAUUCCAGCCAGCAUAUCAUGACUAUCUAAUGAACAAGAUAUAUGAAGCAAGUAGCAAGGUUAAGCCUUAUCUGGAUCAGCACCAUAGCCUCCUUUGGAUGAGGAGCAAAUUCUCAGAAGAGAUCAAGUGUGAACAUAACACGAACAAUGUUGCGGAGGUUUGGAAUAAUUGGGUGAAGGACAUUAAGGACUUCCCAAUAGCAGAGCUUGCAGAUACAUUGAGGACAAAGUUCAUGGAACUGUAUGCAAAAAGGAGAAAAAUUGGUGAAAAGCUUGCCGGCCACUCUAUACUUCCAAUUGUAGUUCGACAACUCAAUGCAAUGAGUAGGCACCUGAUUCAGACCGUAAUCUGCGUUGAAGGUUGCAGAAGGUGGUAGGGAUGAAGCACAAGUGACCGAGAUCACUACUUCACACAAAGUGAUAAGACAUGUGGUGAAUAUUAAGAACCACACAUGCACAUGCAGGGAGUGGCAAAUAUCAGGGAAGCCAUGGCCACAUGGUUUGGCCCUCAUAAUUACUUACAGAAAUCCUAAGAUGGAAGAAUAUCUACAUCCUUACUUUUCAGUAGAUCAUUUUAGGGCAGCAUAUGCUGGAAUCAUUAAGCCAUUGCCAGACAAGUCCCAAUGGCCCAAGGUGGAUCUUGGCUUCAAGGUUCUGCCUCCUCUAACAAAGAGAGCAGUAGGGAGACAGAGAAAGAAUAGGAUACCUGGGUUUCUAGAGAACUAGGGAAACAAUCCUAGAACCAAAGGUUUAUGGCAGGUCCAAUGUAAAAAUUGCGAAGCAUUUGGUCAUCGAUCCAACUCAUCAAAAUGCCCUCUGAAUGGAACUAAGAAGAGGAAAAGUCGUGCCAAGAAAGGGAAUGUGGGAAGGCCACCUGGUUCUAGCAAGAGACGGAAAGGAGAUGCACAGGAAGGCCCUGCACAGGAAAUCCCUAUAAACAGAAGUCCUGGUCCUGUGACAAGGAGCCAAAUGGCAUUAAGUCCUACUGUGAACAAAAGUCCUGCUGUGAACAAAAGUCCUGGUGUGAGCAAAAGUCCUGGUCCUGUCACUAGAAGGCAAUUGACAUUAAGCAUGGAAUCAGAGGCCUCUAAUCCUGUUGCUGUCGCCCCUCCUCUUGAUCUGCACACUACUCCUGUGAGAGUAGCAAGGAAGAAGCAGGCAGUGAAAAAGAUCACUCCCAGGAAGGCAAAAAAAUAAAUACCAUACUGCACUUGUGGUCAUGUACUUUGAUUGGUUUUGUAUGGCAUGUAUGGCACUUUUGUGUUUCGGAUGGCACUUGACAUUUUGAACUUUGCUUACGUUUGGCAACCAUGGAACCUUGCUGUAUGCUACCAAUUAUUGCCGUGAAACCACUUGGAGAUGGUCAAUGUCAUUUUGUUUACUUCCA